ACAUUAUUUUUUUUCUUUUGUUGGUGGCAGCUGAAUGGUUAAAAAAAAAUAAAAAUUUCUAUCCAUUUAAAUAUUUUUGUUGAUUUUUGCCCAAACACUUGUGUAUACCCUUUCCUCCAAUUGAAAUCCUUAGAACCCUCUUUCUUUUGUCACCGAAAAAGAAAAAGAAAUUUGAAUUUCUGACUUCCUUGAUUCAUAGCAACGAAAAUCAUCUCUCUCUCGCUCUCUUCAAAUCACAAUUUCUUAAAAUCUCUUGAAAACUUCAUUUGCCUCUAGGUUCUUCCCAAUCAUUUUCUCUUCUCUUCUCUCUUUCUCACUCUAGGGUUUUUGAAUUUGAGAGAAAUUUUGUAGUGAUUGAGCGCGAAGAUAGAGGUUCCAUGGAAUUGGUACAAGGUGGCACUAGAUGCAAAGGGAGGACGACAUGGUGAAAAUCUCUCAUUUUAUUUAGGCCAUUGAAGAACUGUUAAUUGCUGUAAAUCCUGUCAGUAUGAAGUUUUUUUUCUUUUUUUUUUUGGGUUUAUUUUGGUUUUGCUGAGUAUGUUUGAUAAUUUGUUAGUAUUUGGAAUCAGUUUGCUAAAUAGGUUUCAUGUAAAUCUUGUCCCCUUAUAUGAGCAUGCUCAAACCAAUUUGUUGAUUUCUUGUUUACUUGUUUGAGCUCAAUAUACUAUCUAAACAAUAUUAUUAUUCAUUUUGUUGUGUGCUAGGUAUUAUAAGUAUUAACUUAUGAAUUGGUUACAUAGCCAUAUAGUUUUCUAUUAAAAGUUCUAAGUUUAUAUCAAUUUUCUUUUAUGUUGUGUUCAAAACAUAAAUUUACAAAGGCGAAUUUGAAUUUAAUCUAGUAUAUAAAAUGAUGAGGACAAAGACAAGAAUCAUUCAAAAAUGAUGAGGAUCAAUUUUUUUCUUCUUUUGGCUACAUAGCUUAUCAAGUUUAUAUUAGUAGAUUUGUAGUCAAUUCACUUGAAAUUUAUGCAGUUAGUUUGUUUAUUAACUGUGUUCAUUGUUUGGUUUUUUUUGGCUAUCCUAAAUCCUAAAUCAUUGUAAUAUCAAUUUGCCAAAAAUCUGUUCUAGUUUGAAUGCUCUGUUGGCUUGACUUAGUUACCAUUUUUCCAUUCUCUAUAUGUAUGUGCAAAACCUAUUAUCGCAUAUAUGUGCAGACUUGUAUGGACACCGAGCUCACUAGAAUUUGUAUCAGUUAUGGCAACAUUAUUAGUGUCUCUGUGCUAUUAAAUUGUCUGGAAAUGAUCUCCUUUUCUCUAGCCUUCUGCGUUUUUGGAUAAGUGUUAAAAUACAUGGUUGUUAAAAUGAGAAUCUGAAAAAAAAAAAAUGGAAAAGGAGAAAACUAAAGCACUGAGGUAAGGAUGAUGAAAAAGUGACAUCCUUUGGGUUCUGACUACUUUAAUUUAUCAAAUCUUAAUGGGCUAAUUUCUCAAAUUAGUUUCAUCCAAUCUUUUGGGAUUGAUUUUUAAUGGCUUUGGUAUAAGUGAUUUGAUGGAUUUAAGGGUGGAAAAAAAGACUGCUUGUUGUCUUUGCUUUUUCAUGUUGUGAGGUUUUUUAAUUCUUGGUAUUUGAAUAAUAUUUGAUCUUUUUGUUUCUAGAAGUAUGCAGAAGCAAUCCAUCUUAAUAGUUGUCAGCAUUUGGGGUUGAAUUAUAGUUUAUAAAGAUUUACAAGUAUAAUUUGAAAAUUUUUUGUUAUUGGUAUUACAUUAAUUAUGAUAAGUACAUAAUUUUUCUAUAAUUCUUGAAAAUAUAUUUUAGUGCUAAUUAUUGAUAUAAUUAAUUGCAUUAUGCAAGAUUUACUUUAAUUUGGAUAUACCUAUCUUGAAAUAAAGAUUUAUCUAUUUUUCUAAUUCACUAGAACUUGACUUUAUAGGCAAAUGAUGUGGUAUUUUGUGGGCGAAUCCUAAUGUUUGUAGCACAUUUCUUUCCAUUGUCUGAACAUUCAGGUAGUCAUUUCUAUUUAGGCUCACUUUGUUCUUCGAUUGUUAUUAGUUCUCCUUUCUUUGUGAGCUCAAAUAAUGCUUUGCAACCGUGAAUAUAAAGGAGUUUUUAACACAUCAAACGAGACAAAAUAUGAGAAGGACCCACCUGAAGGACAUGCAAAGACUUGGAGCAUGAAUGCAGAGGAGGGUUCAAGUGGGCUCAAAAGUAAUUGAACAUGCUGAAGUUUUUAGGGCAUAAAUUGAGCUAUAGAUGUUCGAUCGAAGUGAAUCUUGAACCAAUGGAAAGCCAAGAGGAUGAGCUACAACUUUGAUGUUUAGUACUUGGCUCAAAUCAAAAGGAAUCAUGACCAAAAAUGAAGUUGAAAGUGAGAUCCAUAGCAGCUCUGCACUAAGCAGCUUGAAGGAGAAAAACAUGAAAACAGAACCUCCAGCGUUGCAGCAGCAAGUUUCCAGCGCUGCAGCGUUGUCCAAGUCAGACAGAUUUUCGCUACAGCAAGUUUUCAUUUUCGUUGCAGCAAGGUACAAGGCAAAUCAUGUCAGAAGGAUUUUCGCUGCAGCGAAAAAGAGGUUGUUUGCAAUGCCAAGUUAGGAACAAAUUCGCUACAGUGAAAUUCCAUUCUCACUGCUACAGGAACACGUCAGAUAAUGAAUAUUCCUGCAUGAGUUUUUAGGUCAAGCUGAAAAAAGAGGGGGUAUACAUAGGAAGUUUUGCGCUGAGAAAAAAGAGGAUUUGGAGAGACCAUUUUGGGCAAAAGGAGGCAAGAACAAAAACGAAAAAAGAAGAGGAAUCAAGAGCUGGAGGAUCCAAAAGCUAUAACAGAACAUUUUCUCACUCUAGAUUUGAUUCUCUCUCUCUAACUCUUUUUGUAGAACAAUGUUUUUGUUUGUUGAAAUGUAUUCUUUCCUUUUGAACAUGUUGAACUAGAGUUUUUAAUCUAGGAUUAUGGUGGAUGCUAUUGUGUAGUUGGAAUCCUUUGGAUUCUUUCUUUACUUGUUUUAAUGAGAAUAUCAAUGUUUAUUCAAAUUUAUGCUUAU